AGCUGCCCCAUUUGCCUGCGGCACGAGAGCACGGUUUCCCGCGAUUCCAGAGCUCUGCGCUGAGAAAAAGGGAACCUCCGCCGUGCAUGCUGAAGUCUCGGUCUUCAGACUUGACUUGACUGAGAUGCUUGACUGCCCUACGUCUGGAAGGAGGCCGACAGCCUGUUGUCAGAAGCAGGACCUGAGGUGAUUUCAGCAAGGCAGGACCGGUGUCUCCUGGAAUUGGGUGCGGUCUCUACAGGAGACUAGUGCUCACCGCUCCUAGCUUGUAUACAUACGGACAGCCUUCUACUCGCACCGUGAGUCCUCUUAGUUGUCCUGGCAAAUAGAAACUACUUGACCAAAAGCAAACGGCAGGGCCAUGGCGGGCAGAACCAUCAAGCCUCCCUGGUGGGUACCUCAGGAACAGCAUUCAGAAGCUGCUGAGACCACUGGAGAGACUAGGAGCAGGAGUUGAGUUGGAGGUAGGGAGUAGAGUUGGGGAAGGGGUUGUAUACAAACAAGGGCAGGUCCAAAGAAGACUAAAAAAGUACACUGGAAUGCGUCUCGAGUAUUGAGGACACUGAAAGUAGAAGAUGAACCUCAAAAACAGCAUGCUGAGUGAUAAAAAGAAUACAUACUUGUUGCGACCGGCGCAACAAACACCGAGAUCAGGGUCCUGAGGGUAGGGGAAUGUAAGAAAAAAAGAGAGAAGAGAAGACAGUUUGGGAACAGGAGGGUCCCAUGGGCUGAUGGCCCAAGUGACGGCUUUAUUGUUGCUGUACACAAUCUUUUAUAAUAUAAGACUCUUAUGGAUCAGGUCAUUCUAAGAAUGAACAGGUUUCACAUGAUCACUGCCAGCCAAAACAUUUAGUUCUGUGUACCUUGUGAACUUUCUGAACGGGUCACAAGACCUUGUUGAUAGAUUGCUAGCAAAACACAGUUCCCAUGUUUGUUUCUAUUUGACUCGGGGUAGAAAAAGGGGAGGUAACAUUACUGCCAACACCCGCAGACCACAGGCUUCAGGAAUUAACUUUCUCAGCCUUGACAAGGCUUUCGUAUGCCCUUGAAAGUGGGGGAAUGGGAGGGGGAACCACCGGGUUGGCUGAGUCAACAGGGAACCGUUGCUCGACCCGGUCUCAGCCUGGCACCGGGGCCCGGCCUCCCACACAUACUCUGUGGUUCCAUCCAUGUCAGUGUCUAGAACAGGCAAAACUAAGCCAUAGUGACAAAACUAGAUCAUUGAUUGCCUGGGACAGGAGGUGGUGUGGGGGAUUGGCUGCAAACGGGCACAAGAAGACAUUUUGGAGCAACAGAAAUGUUCUUUGCUCUUGAACAGGGUAGUGGUUGCCUGGGUGCAUCCAACUUGUCAAAACUCAUCAAACUUGAAAUGGAUCCAUUGUAUUAUUUACAAAUUACACCUUAAGACUUUUGGUUUUAAAAACAAAUCAUUCCAAUUUUAGUGUCUGAAGUGCAAUUAAUUAGUAUUAGCCUUGGAAAGUUCUUUUAGAAAACUAUCACUCAUGUAGUGAACAGUCCCUCCAUAUUUGUUUUUUUUCUUCCGUGAAAUUCAUGCCCUAUUAAACUCCAUACUUUCAAAUAAAAAUAGGCUCUAUAAGAGCUCAGUUUUUUAUACAAGAAUAUUUGUAAAUACAUCCUCCCUAUAGAUUUAUCAAAUAUGACUCCAUUAGUAAUUACCUAAUGCAUACAAAAUUAUUUUUUAUUUUAAGCUGUUUCAAAAUUUUACAUAUACGUAUUUUGUGCAUCAUUUGCAUUUUACCAUUUGUGUAAUUUUACCAUGUAUAGCUUUUGCAAAAAAUGUAGAACAACUUAAAAAUAGAUUUGAAGAAAAAUAUGUAAAGAUGUUAGAAGUAGUUAAUUCCAGGUGGUGGCAUAAGGAUGAAUGCUUAUCUUCUUCUGUUUGUUUGUUUGUUUGUUUGAUGCCCGAGGUGGGGCUUGAUCUCAAGACCCUGAGACCAAGAGCCGCAUGCUCUAUGGACUAAGCCAGCCAGGCCCCUAUUUUUCAUAGUUUUAAACUUAAAAAAUGAGUGUCCUGGAAGUGAAAGAACAGAAUAGAUAUGAAAGAGGUGUGGGGUAGGUGAGAGGAAAACAUGAAGGGGAGGGAAAACCUGGUUCUGGCAGGAAGUGUGUUUAAGUUGGAGAGUUUGAGGGAGCACUUGUGGGCAUAAGAAGGGUUUGCGGGAGGCAGUGGGGUCAUAAGGAUGUUCGGAUAGUUUGAUGCGUGUUGCAUGGUUCCUCCUAGGUGUUUUUUCAAAAGAAUUUAUAUAGACGUAAAUUUCUUGUCCAGCAUUUUUAGCGGUUUUUAAAAGUAGGAGGCGUAUAAACACUGUGGUUCUCAGCCUAUCUUCUGGAGCCGGGAUGUCUGCAGUCCAAAUUCCUGCUUUCCAAUCCCACUCACUGGCUGAGUGGACAGGUUGCUUAAUCUUUCCGGAUCUCAGUUUUCUUACAUGGAAAAUGAGGACAGUGAUAUGAGGUGGGCCUGUUGAAAGGAUUCAAUGGUUGGCUAUGCCUGGGACAGGGUAUCACCAAUAUCCCCUCAAGAUCCCCAGACCUCCUCCUAACCUCUUGCCACGGCUACGCUAUAUGAUGUUUAAAUAUGUGCAGCUGUGCAGCAGCAUUAUAUUAAAAGUGUUUUGUUCUUGGGGUGCCUGGGUGGCUCAGUCGGUUAAGUGUCUGUCUUCAUUCGGGUCAUGAUCUCGCGGUUCUGAGUGAGCCCAGCGUCGGGCUCUGUGAUGACAGCUCAGAGCCAGGAGCCUGCUCCAGAUCUGUGUCUCCCUUUCUCUCUGCCCCUCACCUGCAGGCACUGUGUCUCUCUCUCAAAAAUGAAUAAAUAUUAAAGGAAUUUUAUUUUAAAAAAGUGUUUUUUUCUUUUGCUCUUAAUUAGAAAUGCUCUAGGCUAAAAUGAUACAUUAAUUAACUCAGUUUAAUAUCAUUGGAAGAACGUAAAGAUAACAGUAGGUCUUAAAAUUGCAAAUUGACUCGACACAUAAUGGAGAAAUGCAUGUGGAAUAUAAAAAUAUAAAAUACCUAAAAACCUUUACCCCAAAAUAUUGUAAGAAUAAUUAAGUCACUAUGAGUUCCAGACUUCUAAGACUUACUCUCCAUUUACAAAUCUUAUAGGAUCUCUUUAAUGUACUGAAACACAUAAUUUCAUAUUGUAUAAACUCCUUAAAUACUAUUGGAAUUGAAGUGCGCUUAUUGGGCCAGUAAAACCAAUAUAGGAAAUUUAGGUGGCUAAGUGUCACCAGGAAUUUGAAGAGAAAAUAAAGCCAAGACCUGUAUAAACUAGAAUAUAUCUACCAAUAUUUUCUAUAUUACUAGAAAACCUGGAAGACAACAUAAAACAGUUUUUAGGCCACAACUAUUAAACCAGUCGGAUGCACACAAAAAGUCCUCUUUAGAAAUAUGACAUGAUAUAAACAUGUUCUAUGCCAUUAUAUGUAAAUUAUUAAAAUCCUUUAAAGUGUUUAAACGUAUUCGAGAUUCAUCCUUUCUAUCCACUUGAUGUUUUCCCCUUGUACCUGAGUGCACGGAGAGCAAUUUAUCUACAUCUAAACAGGGUUUUUUGUUUGUCUGUUUUCCCGGGUUCCAGAUUCAGCAAGAAAGGAAGUAGGAGGGGUGCCUGGCUGGCUCAAUCCGUAGAGCAUGGGACUCUUGAUCUU